rnacentral:tRNA from 1 species
UGGGGGAUAGUUUAAUCGGCAGAACAGCGGACUCUGGAUCCGUGGGUCGGGGUUCGAAUCCCUGUCCCCCAGCCU